rnacentral:rRNA from 1 species
UGAAUACGAAAUGCUACGGCAUUGAAGUGAUCUAUGCCAGGCUUCCAAGAAAAUCUCGUCAUAUCUUAAGCAGUAGAUGCCUGUACCUUAAACCGACACAGGUAGGUAGGUAGAGUAUACCAAGGGGCGCGAGAUAACUCUCUCUAAGGAACUCGGCAAAAUAACCUCGUAACUUCGGAAGAAGAGGUACCCUUGAAAAAGGGUUGCAAUAACCAGACCCUGGCGACUGUUUACCAAAAACACAGGUCUCCGCUAAUUCGUAAGAUCAAGUAUGGAGGCUGACGCCUGCCCAGUGCCGGAAGGUUAAAGAAGUUGGUCAAUCUUUGGAUGAAGCUGGCGACUGAAGCCCCGGUGAACGGCGGCCGUAACAAUAACGGUCCUAAGGUAGCGAAGUUCCUUGUCGGGUAAGUUCCGACCCGCACGAAAGGCGUAACGAUCAGGGUGCUGUCUCGGAGAGAGACUCGGCGAAAUAGACAUGUCUGUGAAGAUGCGGACUACCUGCACCUGGACAGAAAGACCCUAUGAAGCUUUACUGUAUCUUGGAAUUGGGUUUGGGCCUUGCUUGCGCAGGAUAGGUGGGAGGCUGUGAAGAUAUUCUUGCGGGAAUGUUGGAGCCAACGGUGAGAUACCACUCUAGUAAGGCUAAAAUUCUAACUCUGAACCGUUAUCCGGUCAGAGAACAGUUUCAGGUGGGCAGUUUGACUGGGCGGUCGCCUCCUAAAAGGUAACGGAGGCGCGCAAAGGUUCCCUCAGGCUGGUUGGACAUCAGUCGUAGAGUGUAAAGGCAUAAGGGAGCUUGACUGCGAGACCCACAAGUCGAGCAGAGACGAAAGUCGGCCUUAGUGAUCCGACGGUUCCACGUGGAAGGGCCGUCGCUCAACGGAUAAAAGUUACUCUAAGGAUAACUGGCUGAUCUCCCCCAAGAGUUCACAUCGACGGGGAGGUUUGGCACCUUGAUGUCGGCUCAUCGCAUCCUGGGGCGGUAGUACGUCCCAAGGGUUGGGCUGUUCGCCCAUGAAAGCGGUACGCGAGCUGGGUUCAGAACGUCGUGAGACAGUUCGUCCAUAUCCGGUGCAGGCGUUAGAGCAUUGAGAGGAGUCCCCCUUAGUACGAGAGGACCGGGGGGAAUACACCGCUGGUGUACCAGUUAUCGUGCCAACGGUAAACGCUGGGUAGCCAUGUGUAGCGCGGAUAACUGCUGAAAGCAUCUAAGUAGGAAGCCCACCUUAAGAUGAGUGCUCUCACCGCUAUAAGCGGGUAAGGUCACGGUAAGAACAACCGUUAUAUAGGCAUUAAGUAUACGUGCAGUAAUGCAUUUAGCUGAGAUGUACUAACAGACCGAGGGCUUGAU